rnacentral:rRNA from 1 species
UACGGAGGGUGCAAGCGUUGUCCGGAAUCACUGGGCGCAAAGGGCGCGUAGGCGGCCUGGUAAGUCGGGGGUGAAAUCCUGCGGCUUAACCGCAGGGCUGCCUUCUAAACUGUCAGGCUUGAGCACGGUAGAGGCAGAUGGAAUUCCCGGUGUAGCGGUGGAAUGCGUAGAGAUCGGGAAGAACAUCAGUGGCGAAGGCGGUCUGCUGGGCCGUUGCUGACGCUGAGGCGCGACAGCGUGGGGAGCAAACAGG